rnacentral:rRNA from 1 species
AGAGCGAACGCUGGCGGCAGGCCUAACACAUGCAAGUCGAACGGACUCUUCGGAGUUAGUGGCGGACGGGUGAGUAACACGUGGGAACGUGCCUUUAGGUUCGGAAUAGCUCCUGGAAACGGGUGGUAAUGCCGAAUGUGCCCUUCGGGGGAAAGAUUUAUCGCCUUUAGAGCGGCCCGCGUCUGAUUAGCUAGUUGGUGAGGUAAAGGCUCACCAAGGCUACGAUCAGUAGCUGGUCUGAGAGGAUGACCAGCCACAGUUGGGACUGAG